AGGCAACGGUCGGUUCAAUUGGGGGCUAGGGUUCCUCUCUUUUCUUUUAUCGUUUCAGUCGAUUCAAGCAGGGGUUAAGAGUAAGGUAAUUUCCAGAGUUUUAUCUGCGCGACUCAGAGGAGGCAAGAUGCCAUCCUAUAGAUGAUCUAUUUUGGUAAGUCAUAAUACAUAUUUUGUAUUAAAUAGUUAUGACCCUAGUAUGCUUCUCAUCGGAGUUAUGCUAGUGGUAUAAGAUUUGCGUUCCAGAGAUUAUUGUAUAUUAUGUUUUGAUUUUGGAUUCUUGUUUCUAGCGCUAUAGCCUAAAAAGAUCUUGGAUUUGGGGUCAGAUUGUUUUAUUUUCUGUUAUUUAUUGAACAGAUUCGAUUUUACUUUUA